CCUACGGGAGGCAGCAGUGGGGAAUCUUAGACAAUGGGCGCAAGCCUGAUCUAGCCAUGCCGCGUGAGUGAUGAAGGCCCUAGGGUCGUAAAGCUCUUUCGCCAGGGAUGAUAAUGACAGUACCUGGUAAAGAAACCCCGGCUAACUCCGUGCCAGCAGCCGCGGUAAUACGGAGGGGGUUAGCGUUGUUCGGAAUUACUGGGCGUAAAGCGCGCGUAGGCGGACCAGAAAGUUGGGGGUGAAAUCCCGGGGCUCAACCCCGGAACGGCCUCCAAAACUCCUGGUCUUGAGUUCGAGAGAGGUGAGUGGAAUUCCGAGUGUAGAGGUGAAAUUCGUAGAUAUUCGGAGGAACACCAGUGGCGAAGGCGGCUCACUGGCUCGAUACUGACGCUGAGGUGCGAAAGUGUGGGGAGCAAACAGGAUUAGAUACCCUGGUAGUCCACACCGUAAACGAUGAAUGCCAGUCGUCGGGUAGCAUGCUGCUCGGUGACACACCUAACGGAUUAAGCAUUCCGCCUGGGGAGUACGGUCGCAAGAUUAAAACUCAAAGGAAUUGACGG
rnacentral:rRNA from 1 species